rnacentral:lncRNA from 1 species
GUCCAGUCCAGGAAAAGAGAGAGAGCUGGUGGUGGCUGGGUUGGGCCACGAAUGUGGGAAGAUCUCUGAAGGAGGGAGAGCCUUGAAAGCAGGAAAGUGAAGCUCAGAGGGAUGUGCCGAACUCACUCUAGACUGGGUGGGGCAGAAAAGCAAAACAUGAAUCAGCUCCUGAGCACUGGAAAGAGACUGGCCUUGGCCAUUUGGACUUGGCUGCCACUGACUCUCCCCAUGGCCAGUCUGUCCAGCACAAGCUGGACAGGAUGUGUCUGGCAAAGGGCCUGCUGAAGGGGAUGAAAUCACCAUGCUGAGGCUGCCUGAAACCUCCUACUGGAGCAGGAGCACCACUGAUCAUUUCUCAGGUGUCUUCCCAUCCCCCAGCUCUCCACCCUCCUGGGAAGGGUGGGGCAGCUGAAGUGUGUGCUGCGUUAGUAAAGGAAGAUGGACCAUUGUACUGAUUGUUGCUUUUCCCCUGAAGGAUAUAAAAGCAUAAAAGGCUGGAGCAAUGAACCAUAGUUCAGGAGAACAAAAACCACCAUGGACUUCUGGGGCUCUCUCCCUGUUCUGUAGCAACCAGGAAGGAUGAAUCAGGAAGCAGGACAACCUGCUUGAUCAUGGGAUGGGGAGACACCAGAUGGAGAAGGACCAGUGGAGAGGUGGCCUGGAGAGACCGAAAGCUGAAUCCAUGAAAGCCAGGAAGCUCUGCCUGGCUCCCAGUGGGAACCUGGAGAACAUCAAGGAACAAGAUCUUCCUGCAAGUCCCGUCCUAUUUCUCCACAGGGGCUGACCUGGGCCCUUUGCUCACACCUACCAGCUCUGCCUCAUUUUUCUUUGUGGAGCCAAACUUCUCGUCCGGUGACCGAGUGUUCCCCUCCGGAAGGGGCUGCAGCGGGGAGCCGCGGUCCGGCCAGGGUGACAUUUGCAGCGAGCCCAGGGUGACAUUUGCAGCGACCGGAGGUCACCCGGCGGAAGAAAACAAACGCAGCAAAAGCAGCAAAAGCAGCGCUGGGCGGCCACGGAGCGGCCCCGCAGAGAGGGGAGAGCACCAGAGGGGCGCUGAGGACCUGCAUUUGCCUCACACCAUAUUCCUUCUACUUUCCAUAAAACAUGUUUUUAAUCAUUGGCAAAACUUUUCUAUUUUUUUUCUUCUCUUCUCUUCUCUUCUCUUCUCUUCUCUUCUCUUCUCUUCUCUUCU